rnacentral:lncRNA from 1 species
UGGGAAUCCCCACAAAAUGAGAAUGAGGGGAUUGAAAGUGUUUUUGUUCGAAGAGCUCUGGCAUGGAGGCCACAGUCCUUCCAUGAAAUGUAACAAAGCGGGGCAGUUCACUCCUGAACACUUACCCGCACUGUACAGCAGAAGCUGCUUGGGAUGAGCGACUGCUACAGGAGGAAAAUGAAGUAGGAAACUACAUAAAAAUCCAGCUUUCCUGUGAGUAUAAAAAAGGAAGAAAAGGGUUAUAGACAAGAGAUGCCCGAGAGAGACAAGAAUUAUGAAGACAACCAAAUGUUCUCUAUCAGGUAAGCUGAAAACAGAUUGUAGAAAACUUUUGACACCAAACUUUCCUGGAACCCUGAAGCAAG